ACGCAAAAUAGCCAAACACGCUGGGAAGCUACGUGUCGAGAGGACUGACACUUUGGCGCCACUUCCUGCAAACAAAAACAACUAUGAAUUCACGACAUUCCUGGCUGAGGUUUCUUCCUCUUCCUACACCACGUACAGUCUGACACGAGGAGGCAGCAACGUAUAGGCACUACAGUCUAGAAAUACGAGCUAUUGGUUGCAGCUGCUUAAUCAGUCCAAGUGGUAAAUAUCAGGGAUGGUGAAUCGCCCGGCAAUCAAUCUAAUGGAGGAUCCGACUGUACGGUGCUGCCGCCAGUUGCAAACAAUGACUUCGCCGGUCCCUUGUUGUAUGGUGAAAUUGAGGUAGGAGAGCUAAAGGAUUGUGGAUACGAGGAAGGAUCGGGAAUGGGAAAGAGAAGGACGAGGGUAAUUCCACACGGAGAUGGAAAAAUUCUCGACUAAUUAGAAGAAAACCUUUUUCACCAAGGCGACUGAUUCGAUUCGCUAGCCGAAAGAUCAAAGGGCAACAAAAAAUUAAUUUUUUUUCCUAAAGACAUUGAAACUUUUACCCGUGCUUUCAUGCGACACGAGUUUCGGUUGGCUGGCUUGGUCCGUAUAAUUUUCUCGGGAAAGCAUAUCGAAGAAACUGAGUUUCUGCUGACUAUAUAUAUAUAUAGUUUUAUCCGUUUUUCUUUUUCGACUCUGGCAUACAGGACGAAUGGAAAUGAGAUAAAAAAAGUCUAGUGAUUUUUUUCCAUUUUUUUCAGUCCAUUCACUAAAUUGGUACGUUCCACC